UGCACUUUUCCAUGGUUUUCUAUCAGUAGUAUGUGUCCCUGGCAUGUCUACGAACCCCCCAAACAUGAGAAAAGUCCAUCCUCUCCGUCUUUUGCUUUCUCCACCUUUCAAGAAAUGUGUGCUCAAACGGGCGAAUUGGAGAUUUUCCCCUGAUGUCGUCAAGAAGGGCGAUGCCACCUUCCCCCGGGUGGGUGACACUCCCCGAGCUAGGUGUGUGUUCCGCCCACUGAGUCCGCCUUGCAGACGUUAUCGUUACUUCCCUCGCAGACACUGGCUUUCGGUAGAACAAUGUCGAAGGUACAAGCGAAACACAGUAGUUGCUUUGUUGUUGGCUGCACAAACCAACACAGAAGUCUUUUUUUAAUCCCUACGCCCGAGGAUCUGAAGACCCAGUGGAUUCAUGUUAUUUUUGAUGGAAAUGCUCUCGCUCCAAGCCCGAAAGUGUUGUACGUGUGUGCUAACCAUUUCACCUCGGACUGCUUUCUCCACGAGGGCCAGUACAAUGCAGGAUUUGCUACAAGUCUCAAGAUAAAGCUUGGAUCAGUAUCGACUGUCCGUGGUCCAACUUUGAACUUGGGAGCUGCCAGCACAUCAAGUGUAUCUAUACAGCUUCCUGCAACAAGGGAUGUUGCAUGCCAGACUUCAGCCCCACAUCAGAAGUACAGACUCUACCUGGCUGCCAUGUACUACAAUGAAAAUGCUGACUGACCACAAGCCCAAACAAAAGAAGGAGAACCACUGUUCAAGGUCCAAUUUCCAAAGGGAAUGUGGUGGACCUCAUAUUUGAAAAAGUCUUUGUUGACCUGGGACCAUACACAGAAGCUGCUUUGGCCAUCCAAAUCCCAGAGGACCUCACUGCACAGUUCGAGCGGCCUGAGAAGGAGGAGGUCAUAUCCAGCU